AACGAACGCUGGCGGCAUGCCUAACACAUGCAAGUCGAACGAGACCUUCGGGUCUAGUGGCGCACGGGUGCGUAACGCGUGGGAACCUGCACUUAGGUUCGGAAUAACUCCCCGAAAGGGGUGCUAAUACCGGAUAAUGUCUUCGGACCAAAGAUUUAUCGCCUUUGGAUGGGCCCGCGUUGGAUUAGCUAGUUGGUAGGGUAAAAGCCUACCAAGGCGACGAUCCAUAGCUGGUCUGAGAGGAUGAUCAGCCACACUGGGACUGAGACACGGCCCAGACGCCUGCGGGAGGCAGCAGUGGGGAAUAUUGGACAGGGGGCGAAAGCCUGAUCCAGCAAUGCCGCGUGAGUGAUGAAGGCCUUAGGGUUGUAAAGCUCUUUUACCCGGGAUGAUAAGGACAGUACCGGGAGAAUAAGCUCCGGCUAACUCCGU
rnacentral:rRNA from 1 species